rnacentral:rRNA from 1 species
CCUACGGGCGGCAGCAGUGAGGAAUAUUGGUCAAUGGACGGAAGGCUGAACCAGCCAAGUCGCGUGAAGGAUGACUGUGCUAUGCAUUGUAAACUUCUUUUGUCAAGGGACAAAACCAGGCUCGAGAGCCUGUCUGCGGGUACUUGAUGAAAAAGCAUCGGCUAACUCCGUGCCAGCAGCCGCGGUAAUACGGAGGAUCCGAGCGUUAUCCGGAUUUAUUGGGUUUAAAGGGAGCGUAGGUGGGUUGUUAAGUCAGUUGUGAAAGUUUGCGGCUCAACCGUAAAAUUGCAGUUGAUACUGGCAGUCUUGAGUACAGUAGAGGUAGGCGGAAUUCGUGGUGUAGCGGUGAAAUGCUUAGAUAUCACGAAGAACUCCGAUUGCGAAGGCAGUUCACUAGACUGCAACUGACACUGAGGCUCGAAAGUGUGGGUAUCAAACAGGAUUAGAUACCCUGGUAGUC